rnacentral:lncRNA from 1 species
UCAUAUGUGAUAUUGAUAGGCUUGAAUACACGUGAGUAAUCAUAUUGUAUUGUUAAGAUGCUUAAUAUGGUAACAUUGGUGUAUUGUGAUUAUAUUCAUACUUUAUUAGCAUAUGAGACAUGUGAAAAUUCAUGGAUGAAACUGAAAUAAUGAGUGGAUAUUAUUGGCCCACGUGGUUGUGGAAAUAUAUCAUUAUGGUUGAUUGUGGAAAUAUAUCAU